rnacentral:misc_RNA from 1 species
UUCUGAAUGGCACCAGCAACACACAAAUCUUGAAUAAUCAAAUGUGCAGGCUUUGUAUGGGGUGUCAAUGAAGUCAAGAGAGCUUGUCCACCUAUAUUUGUACCAGUGCCGCAUUUGGUCAGGCCAUACUCAGAGAGCCGAGCAGUCCCCGUCCAAAUUGUUAGGUAACUAAUGUUCUACAGCAUGUGCUGCCUCAGGUCCUAAAAGGUUCUAUUAAUUACGAAGCAAUAAGUGUUUGUUUUUGAUAAUUUCUUUGUGAACCACUGGACGAAGGUUG